GGAAUUUUCCACAAUGGACGAAAGUCUGAUGGAGCAACGCCGCGUGAACGAUGAAGGCCUUCGGGUUGUAAAGUUCUGUUGUCAGGGACGAACAAGUACCGUUCGAAUAGGGCGGUACCUUGACGGUACCUGACGAGAAAGCCACUGCUAACUACGUGCCAGCAGCCGCGGUAAUACGUAGGUGGCAAGCGUUGUCCGGAUUUAUUGGGCGUAAAGCGCGCGCAGGCGGCUAUGUAAGUCUGGUGUUAAAGCCCGGGGCUCAACCCCGGUUCGCAUCGGAAACUGUGUAGCUUGAGUGCAGAAGAGGAAAGCGGUAUUCCACGUGUAGCGGUGAAAUGCGUAGAGAUGUGGAGGAACACCAGUGGCGAAGGCGGCUUUCUGGUCUGUAACUGACGCUGAGGCGCGAAAGCGUGGGGAGCAAACA
rnacentral:rRNA from 1 species